rnacentral:rRNA from 1 species
UACGUAGGGUGCAAGCGUUAAUCGGAAUUACUGGGCGUAAAGCGUGCGCAGGCGGCUAUGCAAGACAGAUGUGAAAUCCCCGGGCUCAACCUGGGAAGCUGCAUUUGUGACUGCAUAGCUAGAGUACGGGUAGAGGGGGGGAUGGAAUUCCGCGUGUAGCAGUGAAAUGCGUAGAUAUGCGGAGGAACACCGAUGGCGAAGGCAAUCCCCUGGACCUGUACCUGACGCUGCAU